rnacentral:rRNA from 1 species
UACGUAGGGGGCAAGCGUUGUCCGGAAUCAUUGGGCGUAAAGAGCGUGUAGGCGGCCCGGUAAGUCCGCUGUGAAAGUCCAGGGCUCAACCCUGGGAUGCCGGUGGAUACUGUCGGGCUCGAGUCCGGGAAGAGGAGUGUGGAAUUCCUGGUGUAGCGGUGAAAUGCGCAGAUAAUCAGGAGGAACACCAAUGGCGAAGGCAGCACUCUGGGGACGUGACUGACGCUGAGACGCGAAAGCGUGGGG